rnacentral:ncRNA from 2 species
UGGCGGCCAGGCGAUGGAUCUCCGCCGGGGUGUGUGCACACCCAAACCGCCGACCGGGCUGAUGGUUCCUGCUGGAAC